ensembl:lncRNA
AAGAGGUUGGCCCAGGCCAGGGUUUUAAAAAUACCCAGGGCUGGUCAGCUGCGAGCACUUGGAGGUGUUGAAACAAACGGGCAGCGUCUGGCUGGAGGCCAGCACCCCAACUUUGCUGUGCAAACUUGGGCUCGUAGGAGGGGCCAUCGACAGCUCCCGGGGGCGGUGAGCAGUGGGGAGACCGGGCUGCAGCCCCUUCCCCUGGCGCCCCGCUUGGGAAAGUUUAUAAACAGCGCUCGGUUUAUAAACAGCACUGGGUGACGUGACAUAAUUUCGCAGAAAGGGCUACAGGGCAGACUGUGAACACAGGGCGGCUCUCCUAACUUUUCCUCGCCGCGGUCUCCUGGCGUUGAGAGCCGGGGUGUUGCUCUCCCUGUGGUCUCCCCGCAGCCUUCAGAGCCACUGCCCAGCACGCCGGAGUCACAGUUAAAAAUAACGCUCCCAGUACAGCCCCCUGGGGGACAGCCAGCCCCGGGGGGGCUGGACCAGGGAGGUCCGAGCUCUGAUCGAGGGCCCACUGGGCGCCAGGCGCUUCCGAGACCUCUGCUCGCUGAGCCUCACUAUGGCCUUGAGAGGGAGGAAUCAUCGUCCCCUGCACAGAUGGGGAAACUGAGGCUGGGGAGCGACACAGUCCCUGGUUCAGAGUUCUGUGCUCAGCUGGUGGCAGUAUUCAGAUCCGUGAGACUAGCGUGUCAAGGAGUCAGGGGCUCAGUGUUUUGCUUUGCUGGGUCCCAAGUCCCCGGAAGAGUGUCCAGGCCUCAGCAGGCAUGGGGGCAGCCCCUACUUAACGUGUCCAAACCCUGCUCCUCCCACUGACAUUUUGGAGUUAGGGACACACGCUGAUAGAUCAACUGAGCAUGUUUCAUUUCAGAUGUGUCUCCUUAGCAAUCGCUGCUAAGAAGAAAAAUACAUCGGGGAAGGGGAUGGCGCACCUCAGAGAGGUACAGCUCUACAUGCGGGAGCAGGGCCGGAGCAGGCCUCGCUGAGCAAAUAUUUGAGGACAGACUCAAAAGACAUGAGGGAUUGGGCAAUGCGGAUAACUGGAGGAAGCACAUUCCCGGCAGAGGAAACAGCAAGUGCAGAGGCCUUGAGACUGGGACGUUGCCGGGCAUGUGUGAGGGCGAGGAGGAAGCCAGUGUGGCCAGGGCAGCGUGGGAGCCGGAAUCCUUCCUAGAGGCUCAAAGCUUUCCUCUGGGGUCCACGGGAGCCCCAGAGGGUCCUGAGCAGCUUAGUGUGGCCUGACCGAGCUUCUGCAAGGGUCCCCCUGACUGUGUGUGGAGAAUGGACUGUCAGGGCCUGGGAAGAAGGGCGGCAACCAGAGAGGAGGUGACUGCGAUGGUCCGGGCAGAAGGGCAUGGUGGCCAGGCCCAGGGGAAGACUGGAGGAGGGGAUGUGGGGGAAGGUCACGACCUCACAGUCUAGAUCUGUUCUAGAGGCGGACAGGACACCCUGCUGGACCAGAUGUAACAGAAAUCAAGAAAUCAGGGGCGGCUCCAAGGAUUCAGGCUGAGCGGCAGGAAGGACGGAGCCCCCUCCUUAGGGAGGCGCAAGCACUGUGCCGGCUCCCAGGGGAGGACGGAUGUGGGUGGGACAGCCCUUCCUGGGACCACGGGGGACCUCGGCAAAGCCCUGCCCCCAGUAUGCGGGCCUAACUUUCUGACAGCCCCCCAGUUCAGAUGAAGAUCCUUCCUCCGAGCCCCCCAUUCCAUCCCUGGCAAAAGCUCUUGUACAUUAUGCAGAAGCCACCACAUGUCCUCUCCCCUUCAAUCCUGAAGAGCAGCAAACUCUUCUGUGAGCCCUCAUCGUGUGCCUGGCAGGGUCCUCUUCCUUACAUUUGUGAAUUCAUCUGAUCAUCACAGCAGUUCAAAGAGGGGAGGACUAUUAUUUGCAUCUACUUCAUGGAUGGGAAAACUAAGGCCCAGAGAGGUUAAGUCACUGAAGUCUUAGAUCACUAAUAAGUGGCAGAGGCAGGAUUUGACCCCAGGGCUCAUGCUGUUAACCAUGCUACUGUCUCAUGAGCUGCUCACCAUUGACCAUGAAGAGUCAAACUGGAGGACUGGGGUUGGGAGAGGGGUCCUCAGCCACCCCUCCCAGCAUCUACCCCAUGCUGUGUCUCUAUCCUGCACAUCAACUGAAGGGGUGGAUAUUAUGGUGAUUAUGCCCAUUCUACAGAUGAGAAAACUGAGGCGCAGAGAGAGGAAGUGCCAUGCCCAAAGUCACACAAGCAUGAGGACCCAGGGUUCUGGGGCUCCAGACCCCCUUCUGUCCCCAUGUCCAUACUACCUGUGCCUGUCACCUACUUCUCGCCCUGGUAGGGAGGGAGAUGUUCAGGGGUACGAGGGCCAUGCUGAGUUUCCUUCCGGUUGGCCAGAGGAUGAAGAAGCAGGCUGAGGGUGUGGAGAGGUAACGGGGACAGCACAGCUCUUUGGGCCUGUAGAUUCUGUCUGACAGCAACCAACGUUUCUGAGGCCAGCGCUGGGCCAGGCUUGGGGAGGGGGGCGUGGAGGCAGGAACACACAGCCGAGUGUGUGAGGGAGGUUGAGGCCCCAGUUGCCUCUGACGCCACAGGAAAUGGGGGGGCUGUCACAGGAGUUCACUUCGAGAGCAGCCCAGGGAAGCAGGUGCUCGUGAGCGUCUGCUUUGGGCAGCCUGUCUAAUCUCUUCAGAACUCAGUUUCCACUUCUGUGAAAUGGGUUGCUAAUGCCUGCCUCGGAAGACGGUUGUCAGGCCGCGUGGUUUUUAGGAUGGGAAGAGCACAGGAUCAAGCACAUCGCAGAUGGUCUGGAGACGCGGAACCUGCUGGGCACAUGGAGCAAAAAACGAAGUGCUCUGGACACUUUCUUUACAUGUGAAGUGAAUGCUUUCCCUCUAUUUCAUAUGUACACAGAAGCUCUCAAACCCCUGAUGAGGACGUGUGCCCAAGACCUCGGCUCCUGUAUCUUUGUUCUCCAGCAUCUGUUGCUGCUCGACACAGAGGAGGAGUGCUGGCGUGUUACUUACUGAGCGCUUACCAUAUGUCGUGCCUCUGGGUUUCAUCUGGAAGUGGGAAGAAGUCUGACAUGCCGACCCUGACUCAGAGUGUGGUCAGGGUCAGACACGACGGUGCUACGUCAUCAGUGGGUCUCCUUGGUGGAAGCUGGGUGCACUCCGAAGAGCAAAGGUUUUGGAGAUACACAGUGGGUUUGUGUCCCGAUCCUUCUCUGUGUGGCCUCAAGCAAAUUGCUUGACCCCUCUCUCCAAACCUAGACUCCAAACCCAGAUUUGCUCAUCCUACCUGGUAGGAUUGUUGCCAGCCCAUGCUUAUGAAAUGCAAGGCCCAGGCCUGGAUGUGACUGACAGAUACCGAGGUGGGCCUCAGCUUGUAAGGCUGGCAGAGCCUCUUAAUUUUCCAUCCCUGCCUUUCAAUGCGACGCAAGCUUCCUGCAGUGAGGGCCACAAACCAGGGAAGAGCUGGAGUCGGCGAAUCCAGCGCAUCUGGAUUCAGGUUCGGCCUCGUCCACGCCCCCGCUGCUCGGUUUCAGACAAGCCCCUGGGCCUGUCUGAACUCCAAGUCCCACCUCUACCUCCAAGGCCCCCUUGCUGUUUCUCAAACACAGCUGUUACGCCUGCACCCAAGCUGCGAGAGAGGCUGCGAAAAGCACAAACCUGAGGCUCAGAGAGGUGAAGUCACUGACCUCAGGUCACAUAGCCAGAAAGUGAAGGAGCCAAGAAUCCAGAUGCGGAAACUGAGGCUCAGCUGAUGAAGCCCCUGGCCAGAAGUCACACAGCUGGAUUGAACCCAGGUUGGUCUAACCCCCCAAAGUCUGUUUUAAACCAGGAUGCUCAGGUGCCCUUCAAGAUGUCCUUCACGGAAAUUGGCAUUGCUUUUGAAAAUCAGAGGGGGAGAAAACCAAACAAACCAAACAAGAAAUAUGACAUUUUUUAAACCACUUCUUCAGGCUCUGAUGGGGCCUGAGACCAACUGCGCUUGGGCAGGAUUUCCCGGCAGGGGCACUGUUUGUACUUUGGGUGGGGUGUUCCUUCAUGGUGCCUGGCCAUCCCCCCGCCCACUCCAUGCAGGUCCCUGCCCUCUGAAGACCAGCUGUGUCCCCCAAUCCUGCGUCAUCCAGACCCCCAUCCCUCUCCGAGGCUUCCCCUGUUGAAGGCUGCUGGGGGGCGCCCUGUGGUGACACCCCGUUCCCGCAGUGAGCUGAGCGCUUCCCAGGCUGUAAGCCCCCUGUUAGAGUUGACCCUCCCUGCAGAUGAGGGGAGAGAUGAGGCUCAGAGAGGCUGGGUGACUCGCCCGAGGUCACACAGUAAGCACUGAGCCCUGGGUCUUGUCCCAGGCUGCAGCAUCUCCCCUUGGGGACCAGGCAGGCCCAGGAGCUGUCUCUUACAGCCCGGGGGCUAGGCUGAAGGGGAGAAAGAGGCGCGUGAACUGCAGUCCCCGGCCCCGGACCAGGUGGCUGCCAAGCACCACCGUUCACUCUGGCCAGCGGAGGCCAGGCGGGGAGACUCGGAGCCCCAGGCUGAAGGGCCGGGCGGGCGCUGGGGACGGGAAAGCGCGGCUCCCUCUGCCUGCCCGGCAGCGGCCGUGGCCGCCCGCCAGGCCCCGCCUGACGUCAGGCUCUGACCAGGGACAUAAUGUGCUGGCGUGGGGACAAGGGCUGGCUGCAGGGAGACGGGCCGGAGGCGGGGCGGUCAGGGGAGACAGGCAAGGGGGGAGCGAACAGGAAAGGGAGAAACAGACAGAGUUCAAGACGCAGAGACUCGGAGGCGGAGAAGAGGAACACAGAACCAGAAGGAAGGGACCCCGAGGGCGGGGGAGGAAGACCCAGGACAUGAAAGGGGAAAUUGAGGUGGAAAUUGAGAGACCCAGAGAUGCAGAAAAACAGCAAUAGAAAGUGGUUUAGAGAAAGCUGCGGGCCAGGUGAGGGGGACAGACAGACAGACAGCAGAGAUCAGAGGGGUGUGAGGUUUAAGUGCAAGCUUGGGAGACCCCAGACCUGGGCGGGACGUGGCUCUGCCCUGGGGGCUGGUGACUCAGCACUCCCGGCCUCUGAUUCCUGACCUGGGGGCUGGGGCCCGAAGUCACAGGCCUUAUUCAUUUGGGGAGGGAGCAGGGUCCCCCCUCCACAAUAGGGAUGGUGGGAGUCCAGCUGCAGGGAACCUUCUGGCAGCACUCGGCAGGUGAUGAGAGCUAGAGACACUGGAGGUGACAACUAGAGGGGGUGGGCAAGGCAAGAGAGAAAGAGGGUGCAAGCAGGGGAGAGGGGAGAGCUGACCCCACGGAAAAGAGCCCCUGCUCCAGAGUGCCCCUGGCCCCACUGCCGCCAGGCUUCCCCCCGCCCACCCCCGGCGCUACACGAACACAAGGCCACUGUCACAGACCUUGGCCCGGCCUUGCCUGCCUCAGGGCCCAGCCCCCUGUUUAUGGGCUUGAGAAGGCCAUGAUCCCAGGGCCGUCACGUCACCAAAGCCGAACAAGGCCAGGGCCCGCUCGCUGCCGGCCUUCCAGCCCUGUCAUCCCUUAUCCAGCUUAAUUAUUAAACGCCCCAGCAGGGCCGAGGGUCUGAGCCAGCUGCCCUCCCAGGGGUGGGCAGGGGUAACUGCAUGUCCCCAUUUAUGCAGGGGCACACUCAGUCUCGAGACCCCAGGCUGUACUUGCAAAGUGCCCUUUCUCUCGCCCCCACUGCUCCCAGGAGCCGCCAUCACCUUCAUCUUCAUCCUCAGAGUUAGUAAGCUAAAGCAGCUACCGGGUAUGGGGCACGGUCCCUAGGCCCCCUGACAGUCCCAAAGAGUGAGCGAUAUUAUUGUUCCAUUUUCCAGAUGAAGAAACUGAGGCUCAGGAAGCUACAGUCACUCUCUCAGGGCCACCUGGUAACUUGUUAAGUGGCAGAGCCAUGUGUCCAGCCCGGCCACCCUAUUGAGCAGAUAGCAGCCCCCAUUUCCUGAGCAGCUGCUGAGUGCCAGGCUACUUGAGCCAGAUGCCUUACCUACAUCGUCUCUUUCAACUGAGGUGGCAGUUCUUAGCCCAGCACGAUUUUUUUCCCCUCAGGAGGCUUUAGGCUACAUCAGGGGUCAUUUGGCAUUCUCACAACUGGGGACAUGCUCCUAGCAUCUCAGGGAUGGAGGUCAGUGAGGCCUUUCAGCAUCCCACCCCGCAAAGGGCAGCCCCCACAGCAGAGAACAUGAGUUAAUAAGAGUUGCUCAGUUGUGUCCAACUCUUCACGAACCCAUGGACUGUAGCCCUCCAGGCUCCUCUGUCCAUGGAAUUCUGCAGGCCAGAAUACUGGAGUGGGUUGCCAUGCCCUCCUCCAGGGGAUCUUCCCGAUCCAGGGAUGGAACCUGUGUCUCCCACAUUGCAGGCAGAUUCUUUACUGAUUGAGCCACCAGGGAAGAUCCAGCCCCCAAGGUCAGUAGCAUGGAGGCUGAGAACCCUGCUGUAAGUGGAACAGGUGAGAACCCUGCUGUAAGUGGAACAGGUGAGAACUCUGCAGUAACCCUGUUACAAUCUCCAGUCGCAGACGUGGAAUCCAAGGCACAGACAGAGAGCCCCACUGCCGGGGCUUCCACCCCAUGACCCUGCUCUUCCCUCACGAGACCCAAGGCCACUUCUGAUGGCGUCUGCCCUUAGGAGACCUCAACUAACCUCUAUUUCAGGCCCUUUGAAGCCCUUGCGUGCCUAAUAUAAACAAGGCCUCACUGUUUUUUCACAUGUGAAGACGGGGUUUUAAUCACUGACUGAAGAAAGAGAUCAAGCCAAAAAGUCACCAGGACAGUCAGAAUGUCUUUAAAUGUGUUUGUAUUUUAUUCACAACAGCAGAGGGGGCUGUAGGGAACUGGCCUCACAGGGAUUCAUGGAGCAAAGGUUUCCUGAGCACUGCUAGGUGCCAGGCCCUGUCUCUGGUGCAGGAGAUACAGCAGAGAACCAGACAGACCGGCCCUACUGGGUCUUUAAGAGAUAGCAGUCUUGUGGGGAUGGUGGAUAAUCAACAGGAAAACAAACAGUAAAGACAGCUUCAGACUGUGUUCAGACUGUGGGGAGGGGGAAGGGCUGUCACAGGGAGGGCAGAGUCCAAGGGGGCCUUUCUGAGGAAGUGGGACCUGAAGGAUACCAAGCAAUAGCCUUGGGAAGAGGCAGGGCGGAAGGCUCCAGGCCGAGGGAACAGCAUGUGCAAAGGCCCCGAGGCAGGCGUACGUGUGGAGUGUUGAGGCCCAGCAAGCAGGGCUGGAGAGGAGCUUAGAGAAGUAACCAGCACACAGCUGUGUAGGACUCUGUGGCCACUGUAAGGGCUUUGCAUGCGCUCUGAGGGAGCUGGGGUUUAUAGGGUGAUUUUAAGCAGAAAAGGCGCAAGACUUAACUUAGGUUCUAACAAGAUCCCUUUGGAUGAAUGAUGCUCCCUUUCCCAAAUAUCCUCCUCUUAAUCCCCCAGACCUUUGAACGUCACUUUGUAUGGCAUAAGGAAUUAUGCAGCUAUGAUUUAGCUAAAGAUCUUGAGCUGGGAAGAUGAUCCUGGAUGAUCUGAGUGGGCCCAAUGGAAUCACGGGAGUCCUUAUAAGAUGGAGGCUGAAGGAGGUUUGACCACAGAAGAGGAGAAGGCAGAGAGAAUGACAGAACCAGAUUGAAAGGAGGCACAUUGAAGAGGGAAGAAGGGGCCACAAGCCAAGGGAUGCAAGUCACCACUGGAAGUUGGAGAAGACAAGGAAACAGCCUCUCCUCAGAGCCUCCGGCAGGAGCCAGCCCUGCCAGCAUCUUGACUUCAGUCCAGAGACUGAUUUCAGACUUCUGACCUCCAGAACUCUAAGUAAAUAAAUUUGUGCUCUUAAGCCACGAAAUUUGUGAUCAUUUGCUACAGCAGCCGUGGGAAACUGAUGCAGAUGCCAUGGGGAAGACAGAGGUGGGGAGAGUGGGGUGGGCAGUGACGUGGGGAGAGUGAAGUGGGAGCUGGGGGACCAAGGCUGGGGGCUACUGCAGUAGUCCAGGCAGGAGAUGAGGGUGGGCAGAGAGAAGUGGAUGGAUUCAAGAGGACUUUAGGAAGCCAGACAGGCAGCCUUGCUGAUGGG